AGCUUGCUGCUUCGCUGACGAGUGGCGGACGGGUGAGUAAUGUCUGGGAAACUGCCCGAUGGAGGGGGAUAACUACUGGAAACGGUAGCUAAUACCGCAUAAUGUCGCAAGACCAAAGUGGGGGACCUUCGGGCCUCACACCAUCGGAUGUGCCCAGAUGGGAUUAGCUUGUUGGUGGGGUAACGGCUCACCAAGGCGACGAUCCCUAGCUGGUCUGAGAGGAUGACCAGCCACACUGGAACUGAGACACGGUCCAGACUCCUACGGGAGGCAGCAGUGGGGAAUAUUGCACAAUGGGCGCAAGCCUGAUGCAGCCAUGCCGCGUGUAUGAAGAAGGCCUUCGGGUUGUAAAGUACUUUCAGCGGGGAGGAAGGCGUUGUGGUUAAUAACCGCAGCGAUUGACGUUACCCGCAGAAGAAGCACCGGCUAACUCCGUGCCAGCAGCCGCGGUAAUACGGAGGGUGCAAGCGUUAAUCGGAAUUACUGGGCGUAAAGCGCACGCAGGCGGUUUGUUAAGUCAGAUGUGAAAUCCCCGGGCUCAACCUGGGAACUGCAUUUGAAACUGGCAAGCUUGAGUCUCGUAGAGGGGGGUAGAAUUCCAGGUGUAGCGGUGAAAUGCGUAGAGAUCUGGAGGAAUACCGGUGGCGAAGGCGGCCCCCUGGAC
rnacentral:rRNA from 1 species